rnacentral:rRNA from 1 species
CUGAGGCUCGAAAGUAUGGGUAGCAAACAGGAUUAGAUACCCUGGUAGUCCAUACCGUAAACGAUGAAUGCUAAGUGUUGGAGGGUUUCCGCCCUUCAGUGCUGCAGCUAACGCAUUAAGCAUUCCGCCUGGGGAGUACGGCCGCAAGGCUGAAACUCAAAGGAAUUGACGGGGGCCCGCACAAGCGGUGGAGCAUGUGGUUUAAUUCGAAGCUACGCGAAGAACCUUACCAGGUCUUGACAUACUAUGCAAAUCUAAGAGAUUAGACGUUCCCUUCGGGGACAUGGAUACAGGUGGUGCAUGGUUGUCGUCAGCUCGUGUCGUGAGAUGUUGGGUUAAGUCCCGCAACGAGCGCAACCCUUAUUAUCAGUUGCCAGCAUUAAGUUGGGCACUCUGGUGAGACUGCCGGUGACAAACCGGAGGAAGGUGGGGAUGACGUCAAAUCAUCAUGCCCCUUAUGACCUGGGCUACACACGUGCUACAAUGGAUGGUACAACGAGUUGCGAACUCGCGAGAGUAAGCUAAUCUCUUAAAGCCAUUCUCAGUUCGGAUUGUAGGCUGCAACUCGCCUACAUGAAGUCGGAAUCGCUAGUAAUCGCGGAUCAGCAUGCCGCGGUGAAUACGUUCCCGGGCCUUGUACACACCGCCCGUCACACCAUGAGAGUUUGUAACACCCAAAGUCGGUGGGGUAACCUUUUAGGAACCAGCCGCAUAA